GAACCAUCCCAAAAGAAUGAACAAUUCAGACAGUUAACAAUCCAGAACCUUCAGCUGUCUAUCUACAAUCAAAAAUACAAUCCUGGUUCAAAGAAGCCCGAUGGUGAUCUAGAGUAUCUGAGAUCUGAAUGUUUCUGGUUGGGCUGCCUGAUGGCUUUGAACAAUC